rnacentral:rRNA from 1 species
GACGAACGCUGGCGGCGUGCUUAACACAUGCAAGUCGAACGGACAGGCCCUGCUUUUGUGGGGUGCUCGAGUGGCGAACGGGUGAGUAACACGUGAGUAACCUGUCCUUGACUUUGGGAUAACUUCAGGAAACUGGGGCUAUUACCGGAUAGGAGCUCUUGCUGCAUGGUGGGGGUUGGAAAGUUUCGGCGGUUGGGGAUGGACUCGAUGCUUAUCAGCUUGUUGGUGGGGUAGUGGCUUACGAAGGCUUUGACGGGUAGCCGGCAUGAGAGGGUGGCCGGCCACAUUGGGCCUACGGUACGGCGCAGUAUGGUACGUGACGCAGCAGUGGGGAAUAUUACACAAUGAGCCGACGCCUGAGGCAGCGACGCCGGGAGCGGGAUGACGGCCUUCGGGUUGUAAACCGCUGUCGCCUGUGACGAAGAGUGAGUGACGGUAAUGGGUAAAGAAGCACCGGCUAACUACGUG